rnacentral:misc_RNA from 1 species
AAGUCGUAACAAGGUUUCCGUAGGUGAACCUGCGGAAGGAUCAUUAACGAGUUAGGGUCUUUCAGGCCCGAUCUCCAACCCUUUGUAUAACUACCAUGUUGCUUUGGCGGGCCCGUCUUUAAUUGGACCGUCGGGGGUUUUAUAAAGCCCCUGGCCAGUGCCUGUCAGUAGCCUACAAUAAAUUCUUUUAACCAUGUUAAAUCUGAAAAUAGUUAAAAUAAAAUAAAAACUUUCAACAACGGAUCUCUUGGUUCUG